CAAAUUAGGUAAGCCCAAUGCCUUCCCUUCUCCAGGCUGAACAACCCCAACUCUCUCAGCUUGCCUUCAUAGGAAAGGUGCUCCAGUCACUUGAUUAUUUUUGUGGCCCUCC